AAGGGACACAUAUACCCAUAUUCCAUCAGAGCAACCCUUGACAGAAGAGUGCUCCAAAAGUAGUCACGCUCAGUAAAAUGUACUCCUACAUAUCACCUGUAUGCCAUACCCAUGUCACCAUACGUCUUGGUUAAAAGGACAACCAACUAAUAUGGCAUACAACAACCUACACUCGAUACAAUUAUUAUCUUUAUAAUAAUUGUAUCAUUUGGUCAUGAGUAGGAUUUAAGAACCACAUGAUAAAUC
rnacentral:lncRNA from 1 species